UAGCAGCACUGUACUGUAAAAAUCCACAGUACUAUACUGUAUGUGUACAUUACAGUACAGUACUGCAGUUCAUAAUGCAUUCUGGGUAAAUUUGUUUGAGCGGGAAAAUUUUACAGUAUAUUUUGGUCUUGAUGUAACCUUGCUGUAGCCAUUGCUGUAAUGUGCCAGGUGUACUUGCAAUAAUCAGAGAAAGUGCGCCAACGUCAAAUCACACAGACAGAGGGAGAGCACAACUCCUGGCUGCAGCUGAAGGAGGACGAUUGAUUUCUGUCAGUUCGUCUUACCAUUGCUUGUAAGCUGGAUUGGGUAAGAUGGAUCAUCUUUAAAGGCACCAGGAGUUAAGGCAGAUGUGGAGGCACAAUGGGUGACACCAGACACACACCAAGCACAUUGUUCGGACAUUCAAUCAUGACAUGAUCCAUGUGGAUGCUGUCCAUUGAGGAAAGAGUUUGUUCAGCGGUUUCUGGAUAGAAUUAAUUCCAAAGAUGGGAAAAAGUGCACAUCCAGACAAGGAGCAAGCAAAAAGACAAGGAACUUGGUGCAGAGAAAAGCUGUGGCCAUUGACCCCCAUGUGAACAGCUUCAUGCAGUCCCUGAUUGAGUUCGAAUGGACGACUUCAAAGUAAAGGCCACUGUGGUCUGUCUGCCAGUUUAAUGCAUUUAUUUUUAGUGUUAAAUGAAAUUCAAGUAGAAUAUUUAAAACUAUGGGCCAGUGUUCUUUUUACCACAGUGAAAUGUUACCUUUUAGUCGAUGAUGGACUUUAAACUGAAAACUUCAAACUAUGGACCAGUGUUCUAUUUGCCAGAGUUAAAUAUGUUACAGCAGGGGU